GUGUGGGCCACCGCUGAGGGUGAAUGCAGACGGCCGUGAAAUAUGGCAUGGUUAGUUUUUAUAGGCUGGGUAAUUCCACAUGCUAAUGAGUGGGAGGACUAUUCCAACUAUUUUGGGGAAGGGGCGGAGAUUUCGUGGAUUGGGCCACCGCCCACUCCUCGGUCUUUUAGCAGUCCUUCCCAGGCCUUCGCGCUGGCUCUCCAUCCUCCUUUGCUUCCGGAGGCGGCAUCCAGAGCCGUUUUGACCAGGAGGAAACCAAGGCUCAGAGCUCGACCAUCGUCCAGGGCCCACCGCACCCAGUGGGUACGUGGGUCCCGCUGCUCCCACUCCAAUCGCGUUUCUCGACCUGGUUCUACUCACAGGACCCCAUGGCGGCUGCAGUGCUAAUGAACUGGGCUCAGAUAUCUGAAAGAAACUAAAGAAGGCGAAGAAGGCCCUCAAACCCCUCAAUGAGACCUUCAAUGAGCCCUUUAAGGUUUUCAAUAACUGGGAAGAGCAGGAAAAUCUAGAGAAGGCCCAGGGAAAUCAGGUUAAAUACCACCUUUGAGCUACUGCCCUACAUGGCUCCACAUUUCCAUCAACCAACAAAGAAGGAAGCCCCCUGGGCCCUACUUCAAAUGCGGCAAAGAAGGUCACUGGGCCCACUCAUGCCUGAAGCCAAGGCCCCCGCCAGGUCCGUGUCCCAGCUGUGGCAUAGUGGGACAUUGGAAGGUCCACUGCUCAAAUCCUCCUCUAGGGAUCCGGACAGCCCUUCCUGGUCUGGAGCAGGAGUCCUCUGACUCAGCUCUGCCCAGCCUCCUCACCGCUGAGGACUGAAGGUGCCCAGGGCCCCACACCCUGACUCUCAUCACCUCUAUGGAGCCCAGAGUAACUCUUACAGUGGCAGCCAACUCAACCGAAGAAAGGAAAAAACAAGUCAGAGUCACAAGACCUAACUCCUUCAUCCCGGAACCGUGCCUGCAGGACGAGGAGAGGGGGUUGGGGCCGUGCCUCCAUUUUGUCAGUAAUGCCUAAUGUGGCUCCCGACAACCCUCCCUAUCCCAUUAAUUCAUAACUGACCCAAAUGAGCAAUUCAGUUCACUCCUCUAUUAAUAAGUAUAGGAAUAACAUCUGGGGUUGGAACAGGGAUAGCAGGACUCACAACCUCUUUAAAUUACUGCCAAAGCCUUUCUGAAGACCUCACUGAGAGCCUAGAAGAAAUAGCUACUUGUCUUAUCACUACCCAAAACCAGCUAGACCCUGGCAGUCAUGGUCCUCCAAAAACAGAAGAGGAUUAGAACUUCUCACAGCAGAAAAAGGGGGCCCAUGUCUAUUUUUGGAGGAAGCUUGCUGCUUCUACACCAACAAAUUAGGCAUUGUAAAAGAAGAAAGUGAAAGUCGCUCAGUCACACCCGACUUUUUGUGACCCCAUAGACUAUAUGGUCCUUGGAAUUCUCUAGGCCAGAAUAUUGGAGUGGGUAACCUUUCCCUUCUCCAGGGGAUCCUUCCAACCAAGGGAUCAAACACAGUUCCUCCACACUGCUGGCGGAUUCUUUACCAGCUGAGCCAGCAGGUUGUAAAGGAAGCAGCAAGAAAUCUGACAAAUAGGGCCUCGAGAAUACGUCAACACCUCAGUAAUUCAUGGGAGAACUGGUUAAGCAAUUGGAAUUGGAUGCCCUGGGUCCUACCUUUUCUAGGUCCUCUUCUACUUAUCUUUAUUGUAACUUUUGGCCCAUGUUUAGUUAGUUUUUUUCAAAAUUUCUUCAGGACCGCUUAUGAGCCUUUACCAACCGAACUAUCCACGAGCUACUUCUAAUUCACUCAAAUUGUCAAAAACUUUGACCC
ensembl:lncRNA